rnacentral:rRNA from 1 species
CCGGCGCACGGGUGAGUAACACGUAUGGAACCUGCCCUAUGCAGGGGGAUAAGCGGAAGAAAUUCCGUCUAAUACCGCAUAACACCUUUUGGAGACAUCUCCAGGUGGUCAAAGGAGGCGACUCCGGCAUAGGAUGGCCAUGCGUCGCAUUAGCUAGUCGGCGGGGUAACGGCCCACCGAGGCGACGAUGCGUAGGGGUUCUGAGAGGAAGGUCCCCCACACUGGUACUGAGACACGGACCAGACUCCUACGGGAGGCAGCAG